UUGGUGGGUAUCUUCAGUGUUAUGUUUAGAUUCCUUUUUCUUUUGUAUGUGUAUUUACAAAAUUUGUGUUUACAGUUACCAUGAAGUUUUGAUAUCAUAGUCUCUGUAUAUACGUGAUUGUUUAAGUCACUGAUCUCUUUAUUUCAAGUGAAUUUCAAAUAGCCUGCAUUUUUACUCUCCUGCUGUCAUGAUUAGUGGUUUUGAUAUUACAUUUUUUUGUGUGGAUGAUUUCCUGUCUUUACUGUAUAUUUGCCUUUACUGGUGAACUUUCCAAUUUUGUGACCUUAUUGUUACCAGUCGUGACCCUCUUUUAUCAACUUAGAGAAGUUGCUUUAGCAUUUAUUAUAAAGCUUGUUUGGUAGUGUUGAAUUAUUUUAAAUUUUGCUUGUCUGUAAAGGUUUUGAUUUCUCUGUCAAAUCUGAAUAAGAGCCUUCCUGAGUAUUCCUGAUUGUAGAUUUUUUCCCUUUCAUUACUUUAAAUAUAUGGUGCCAAUCCCUUCUGGCCUGAUGAGUUGCUGAGAAAAAUCAGCUGAUAACCUCAUUGGGUAUUCCCUUGUAUGUUAUUUGUUCCUUUUCCCUUGUUGCUUUUAGUAGUUUCUCUGUCUUUAAUUAUUGUGAUUUGGAUUACCAUGUGCCUUGAUGUGUUCCUCCUUUUGCUAUAUGAGACUGUGCUUCUUGAACUUGGGUAACUGUUUCCUUCCCCAUGUUAAGAAAGUUUUCAACUAUUAUUUCUUCAGAUAUUUUUCUCAGGCCCUUUCUCUCUCUCUUCUCCUUCUGGGACCCCUUUAAAGUAAAUGCUGGUGUGACUGACCUUGUCCCAGAGGUUUCUUAGACUAUCCUCAUUUUGUCUCAUUCUUUUUUCUUCUGUUCCAUAGCAAUGAUUUCCUCCACCCAGUCUUAGAGCUCAUUGAUUUAUUCUCCAUUUAUCCUGCUAUUGAUUCCUUCUAGUGAUUUUUUAUUUUUCAAUUGUUAAAUUUCAGUUACUAUAAUCUCAACUCUGGUUCUUUUGUAUUUUCUAAUUCUCGCUAAAAAUUUCUCAUAACUUUUCACUCUGUGGAUCCAUUCUUUUACUGAGUUCUUGAUGAUCUUUAUAAUCAUUACUUGGAGUUCAUUCUCAAGUAGAGUUCCCAUCUCCACUUCACUUAGUUGUUCUUCUGAAGUUUUAUCUUAUUCCUUAAUUUGGAACAUAUACCUUUGCCAUCUCAUUUUGCUUAAUUUUCUAUUUGUAUUUUUAUGUUUGUAAAAUACAGUUAUACUUAUUGACCUUAGUUACAUUUCUUGACCUUGGAGAAAUGGCCCUCUGUAGAGGAUGUCCUAUGUGUCCCAGCAGUACACUCCCCUCUCAUCACCCAAAGGCCAGGGAAUAGCUGGUCCCAGUGUAGGUUCUGAUAGGUAUUUGUGAAGUCAGUUCUGCAGGCUGCAGGAUUAUAUUUUCAUGCUUCUGGUGUCUACCCCAUGGUGGGGGACACUGGUUUAGAGGCUUGUGCAGGCUUCCUGUUGGGACAGGCCAGUGCCUGCCCACUGGUGGAUAGUGUUGAGUCUUGGCCUGUGGUGGGCAAGGCCAUAUCAAAGAACAUGUCUAGAAAUGUCUAUGGGGGGGGGUAGGAAGUAUUUGGGAAGCCUGUCUGCUGAUGUGUGGGGCUGUGUUCCUGACCUGUUGAUUGUUUGGGCUGAGACAUCCCAGUACUGACUGGCUGUUGGGUGGGGACAGGUCUUGGUGCCAAGGACCCAAAAUGUCUGCAUCCAGCCAGAGUUCAUGUAGGUCCCUGCUAUGUCCAGCACUAGCAUUUAUGACCUCAGAGAGAGCCACAGCUACCCCCUUCCUCCCCAGGAGACUCUCCAAGAGCAACAGGUAGGUCUGGCCCAGGCUCUUAUGGAGUUACUCUUUUGCUCUGGAUGCCAGUGCAUGAGAGACCUUGUGUUCACCCUCCAAGAGUAGAGUCUUUGUUUCCUCCAGUACUGUGGAGUUACUGCAGUCAAGCCCUGCUAGCCUUUAUAGCCAAAUGUUUGUGGGGGAGGGGAGCGUUCCUCCUCUCAAUGCUAGGACCCCAGGCUGGGGAGCCAGGGGUGGGGCUCAUAGCUCUCACUCUUGUUGGAGAACUUCUGUGAUAUAAUUAUUCUCUGGUGUGUGGGUUUCCCCCACUUUGGUGGUAUUCCAAUGUUUGUUUGCUUUUAACCAUUGAUUUUUCAGCAGUUAGUUGUGAUUUUGGUGUUCUUGUGAGAGGAAAUGACCUCAAGUUUCUUUUACUCCACCAUCUUGUUCCCAAUCCCUAACUGGCAAGUUAAAUAGCCUUAUUCAACUAAAAAACUCCCUAAUUUCCAUUUGUAACUGAGGCUUUAACAUCCAUCUAAGAAAUGAGUUAGAAGUUUUAACAAUAGCAAUCGAUAUUUAUUAUGAUAUAUACUAUGUCAUUGUGGUAUUUACAGGCACUGUGCUAGUAUUUGAUAGCUGUCGUAUUUUAUGCUAACAAGCCUGAUGAGUAGAUAGUAUUCCUAUUUUAUUCAAGGGGAAAAUGGAGGCUAAUAAGAGUUAAAUAACAAGUGGGAAUGAUUGAACCAGAAAUCAUUUCUAGUCCUGAUUGAUGCCAGUCUAUGCUACAUAGCCUUUCACCUACUUUUAAAUUUCUAGAAAUCUUUACCUUUUGUUAUCAUGUGAUAAUCAUAAUAUUCCAAUAAUUUUGUUCAAAUUAAAAAUUUCAAAGGCAAGGGAGACAAAGAAAGUGAAGAUAAAAAACAGCCAUUAAACCCACAAGCCAGCCACUGUGCAAUCUAGCAUGAAACACUGAAGGAUCUCUUCAGCUACAUUCACACAGAAGAGCAACAGAAUCAAAACACUGAAGAAAAAGUUUUCCAAUUUCCCUUACUUGGCUUGUAUACAAAUGGCACUGGAAUAAGUAACACACACCUCCAAGAAGCCUUUCCCAAGUCAACAGUUUUGGCAACUGACAAACGGAUUCUGAGAAGACUUCUCUCCCUCACCUAACUCUACAAGGGACUGGAGCUCUGGGACCAGUAGAAGCCCCCUGUUCCUUUCAGUCCUUCCUGAGAAAGUCCAGUUUGGAUUUAUUUUUUUCCUUAAAGGAAUGGGUUCUGAAGAGAAACAUGGGUUAGAGAGAGUUUGUCAACAAGAAGAAUUACCUUGAUGCUUUUAUAAGAUGAAGAUCAUCAAGAAGAUUCAUAAAAAGGACUUUUUGACAAACAAGUUUCUGACUUUUAGAUCAUACUACUGAAAUGGGUAAGAAAUUACAAAAUUCUAAUGGAAAAGCUGACUUCAUCCAGAUCAACAGGAAUUCAUUAUAUGGGACUGAUUGAACAGAUUCAUGAGGCAUAAUUUUCUUUUUUUUUCAUUUUUUUAAAUUACUCAAGUGAAUUUAUCACAU